rnacentral:rRNA from 1 species
GUUCCAGGCCCCACUCCACAGCCCAUUUCGUCGAACACCUCGCGAGCCCCAACCCUAGCCUGCAUCGCGCGCUAAACCCAUCCCCACCACCACCAUGCGAGGCAUCGGCGCCGCCGCCCGGCGGCACGCGCACCUCCCCUCCUCCUACGCCGCCGCGUUCUCCUCCUUCUCCGGCAUCGGGGGCAGCGGUGGCGCUGGGCGCGGGCGCGGGCGCGGCCUACCGCCCUCCGCCUCCGCGCCGCCGCGCGCUCCCGGGAGCCCCAUCCCCGAGGACGACAAUGGAGUGGAUCUCUUCGCCGCAUCAUCUUCUGCCGGCCGUGGCCGCGGGGAGCCCGUGAUCCCGCCCUCCCCCACCACCCCGUCCUUCUCGUCCUUCUCCGGCGCCGGCCGCGGUCGCGGAUCCCCGCUGCCCCCGCCGCCGCCGCCAUCCGACGAAGAUGCCCCCAAGCAACCCACCUUCGCAAAGCGCUUCGACUCCGUCCCUCCCCCCUCCGAUCCGGAGCCGCCAGCCACCGCUGCCUCCUCCUCAUCCGAGCCGCCGCGUUCGAUCCCUACCUCCGGCGCGGGCCGCGGCGUGCCGCGUGUGCAGCCACCGGUGGACAGGCCCCCCGAGGAGAACCGCUUCGUUCGAAGCCGCGAGGCAAGGAAAGCUCCGACCCCUUCGGCUCCAAGCGGGCAGCCGAGAUUGGCGCCACAGGAGGCUGUGAAGCGUGCUUUGGAGCUCCUUGGCCGUGGCGAUACUGGCGGUGGACGCGGCAGAGGGGGGCGUGGGGGCCGCGGAGGUGGCCGGGACGGUGGCCGUGGUCGGCCUGCUGACGUGAACGAGCGGGAAAAGGUCUUCUUGGGUGACAACGCUGAUGGUGAGAAAUUCGAGAAGCGGCUCGGGCCUGAGAAAAUGAAGAUUUGGGACGAGGCGUUCGAUGAGGCAGCAGAUGAGGCACUGCCAGAGCCGAUUGAUGAUGCGCUUCUCAACGCUAUUCAUACCAAUAACAUGAUUGAGUUUGAGCCAGAGUACAAUGUGAGCUUUGCUAAUCCUGAUAUUGAGGAGAAGCCGCCUAUGUCAUUGGAGGAGAUGCUGCAGAAAGUAAAGCCAUUCAUAGUUGCUUAUGAAGGCAUCCAGGACCAGGAAGAAUGGGAGGAUGCCGUGAAAGAUAUCAUGUUAAGGGCACCCCAUAUGAAAGAGCUGAUAGAUAUGUACAGUGGGCCUGAUGUCGUAACUGCAAUACAGCAAGAAGGGGAGCUGCAAAGGGUUGCCAACACUCUUCCAGAAAACAUACCCAAUUCAGUAAAGCGGUUUACUGAUAAAACUUUACUUUCUCUCAAGAAUAAUCCUGGCUGGGGUUUUGACAAGAAGUGUCAAUUCAUGGACAAGUUUGUUCGUGAAGUUUCAGAGCAAUACAAGUAAAAGGCUUCUGAUGCACUGUUGUAAGAUCUCAUUUAGCCCCUAAGAAGAUUUAGCAGAUUUUCCUUGUUUUGAGAGGUGUAAUGUUAUAUUCAAUCCAUGCAGCCUGUCUUCUUUCUACGGGCUAGUAGUUGGACAAAUAAAAACACUGGGAAAGUGGAUAUUUCUUUUGGGAGAUUUUCCUAUCGUCAUUUUGAUUCUGGAAGUGUCGUCGCCAUUUGUUUAGGACAACCCUGAAACUCCCUUGCCUCUCUAAGGCACUAAUGAUAUAAUGGAUGCUUGAAUGAUCAUGGUGUGGUCUCUUUCCUCUUCUAUUAUGGAUCACAUAUUUUGACCAUUUUAGAAAUGAAAUGGUAUUUAUUUGGCAAGGGAG